CAUCAUCAACAGCUCCCAGCGGAAUUAGCACCACGCUCUUGUGGACGAUCUCCUGGAACAUUUUGGCAAUUGGAAUGGUGGAUCCAUCCCGGAUCAUAUCUGGUUCUGUUCCAAACACUGAGACAGGAAAAGAAGGCAUUUGAAUAGGGUAAGGACAAGAACACCCCCAGGAAGCUCCUCAAGGAUCUGAUCCAGAAUCCACACUGCAUUUUUAUUAUUGCUUCUUAGUUUCUUGUAUGCUGCAGACGUUUCUCAGUAUUUCCUUGUCUUUCAUGACCUUGACCAUCUUGAAGCUUAUCAGUCGGUAGUUUUGUAAAAUAUCCCUCACUCUGGGUUUGUCUGAUGUUAUCUUGUGAUUGCAAGAGGUCAUGCAUUUUUGGCACGACACAAGACAAUGUCCCUAUAUUGUUUCUUCAUGAAUUAAAUAUUAUGGAAGUGGGACUUCUUUGGGUUUUUUGGUGACAGAUAUGCCAAUAGCUGUACUAUCGCUCAAAUGUCACAGUGUUUCUAGCAAUUUUCAAAGUAUUGCACAAAAUAGUUUUAACUGCUAUCGUAGGUUUUAGAAAGAGAUGAGUUCAAACCUUCUAGCUUACCGGACAUGCUGCCAGUGAUGGAGUGGGAUGAAAAAUGAAACAAAGAAACCAGAGAGAACAUGCCACCUCUUCUUUAUUCACAAAGAAAGAUGUGGACGUGAAUCGAAGUGAUGUGCCUCGUUCGCAGAACCAGUUUAGCACACAAAUAGACCGAAAGGUGUCUUAUGCAUUCCUGAAAGGCUAUUUCAGACCUAUUUAUUGUUGUCAACCUGGGUAUUUCAAACACACACCUCUCUUCAGCUGCCAUUACAUUUCUUCAAUCCUAAAGUUUACUGGCGAAAUACCUGCUAAGGUUGGGGGCAGCAGGAAUGGUGAUGGAAAGAAGCAUGGCUCCCUGUCUUGGACUUGAUCUGUAGUUUUCCGUGUCUGUGUCCCUUGUACUGAUAACCCUGAGAGAGAGUUAGUGCUUCAAAGAGAUCUGGGCUUCCCUUUCUGGCUUUGCCACCAUUAGCCAAUGUGGCCUCAGGCCUCAUCUGUAAUAGGAUGCCAUAGGUCUACCUAAAUGCAUGCCACUGCUUUUCCACCUAGCUUUGGGAGAGACCUAGAACCCCCUGCUUUGGGAAGAGCCCCCAUUCUGCUAUUGUUGGCAGGGUCCCCCUCCUGGUGCAGAAGCCAAAAAGACUGGGUGUCCCUGCUCCCUGACGCCACAGCCAGCACCCAAGUACACGCCCUCUGCUCAGCCCAGCACAUGGCUCUACCCAGGACCUUGAAGUGCAUGGAAUUAAAACAGGCACCACCAAAGAAGUUCCAAAUAGAGCUGUGCUGCCUUCUGGGGAAGCAAUGUGGCAUUGUGAAGAGACCACUGGCUUGAGGGUCAGAAACACCAGAACUGGGUUUCUCAUGUGUUUUGCAAUUGUGUACAGUGAGCUCAUCUCCAGGAAGCUCCUGUGGAAUCUCCUUGGCCUGCCUGGGGGCUGUGUCCUCCUGGGCAAUGCUGUGCUUGCAUCAGCAGGCAGUCCAGCCAUGGCACUAGUGAGAACCAGACCACACACUAGGUAAAAUUAAACACCCAAACCCACAGGAGCAAGGGUCCAUGGUUAAAAAUUCUCAGGGGAGACCUUGUGUCCGUCCAACGUCCAAGCAAAGGCAGUCAAGCUUACACACACACACACACACACACACACACACACACACACACACACAGGAUAGGUGUGGCUCUCCGGGGAUGCCCUGCCUGUAUAUAAUGGGUCUCAUUUUCAACUUCCUGCCUCACUCUGGCCCAAGGCCAUUAAAGCCCCAGUCUCUUUGUGACCAGGAAGAGCAGAUCCCUGCCGGCCAGCCCAGGGUCUGCUUAUUUACUCCCCUAGAAUUUAGCUUCUCCUUCAUUUUCAACCCUGAAGGAUUUCCUCUGAUGUCAUACAAGCUAAGCUGUAUUUUUUGUUUUUCAUUUUUUGAGACAGGGUCUCACUCUGUCCCCCAGGCUGGAGGGCAGUGGCAUGAUCAUAGCUUGCUGCAGCCUCAACCUCCUGGGCUCAAGCCAUGCUUCUGCCUCAGCCUCCUGAGUAGCUGGCACUACAGGCAUGUGCCACCACGCCCAGCUAAUUUUUAUAUUUUUUAUAGAGAUGGGGGUCUCACCAUAUUGCCCAGGCUGGUCUUGAACUCCUGAGCUCACGCGAUCCUCCUGCCUCUGCCUCCCAAACUGCUGGGAUUAUAAGCUUGAGCCAUCACACCUGGGCUAAUCUGUGUUUUGAAAGGAUGUUUUUACAUGUUGGCCAACAUUUCUAUGAGUUUGUAUUCAGGGGGAGGGGGUUGAAGAUUUUCUAGUCCAUCAUUUUCUUCAAAAUUCAGGUCUCCAGACUUAAAUUUGAACACAGGCUUUGCCCCUUGUGAGCUGGGCACCCUUUGGCAAAAUACUUCAUGUCUGUAAGCCUGCAUUUAUUCCUCUGUUAGAUGGGGAAGGCCAUUGGGAGGAUGACUUGAGAUGGCGUGUAUAGCGUGCCCUGCACAUGGCAUGCAUUCAACAAUGUGCUCUGUAUUAAAAGGAGAGUUGAUUUCUGA